GAUGAAGAACGCAGCGAAAUGCGAUAAGUAAUGUGAAUUGCAGAAUUCAGUGAAUCAUCGAAUCUUUGAACGCACAUUGCGCCCGCCAGUAUUCUGGCGGGCAUGCCUGUUCGAGCGUCAUUUCAACCAUCAAGCCCCCGGCUUGUGUUGGGGACCUGCGGCUGCCGCAGGCCCUGAAAAGCAGUGGCGGGCUCGCCGUCACACCGAGCGUAGUAGCAUACAUCUCGCUCUGGGCGUGCUGCGGGUUCCGGCCGUUAAACCACCUUCAUAACCCAAGGUUGACCUCGGAUCAGGUAGGAAGACCCGCUGAACUUAAGCAUAUCAAUAAGCGGAGGA
rnacentral:misc_RNA from 1 species